UAAAUUCCUUAACCCUGUUCAAGGUGUAUACACACUCAAUAUUUAACUACAGUCCAGGUUUGCAAUUAACAAACUAUCUGAGAUGCCUGUGUGUGAGUCAGAUAUGUCUGCGGCUAAUCUAUUGGUUAUAAAAUAUCACAGCCUUUUCUGAUUGGCUGAGUUCAAAUACAGAAAGUUUACCUGUUAGAUUGAAAUUCUGGAGAAAAUAUGCAGGUUAAACUUGUUGUUAAAAUGAAGUUAAUGUAAUUUCACAAACAGUAGAGUUAAUGAGUUUUUCCAUUAACAAGAAUUUCUUAAAAUAAUAAUGUAUGGAUAUCAUUUGGAAAGUGACAUGAAAUGUUGUUAAAAAGUGAUGCAUACAAGUGUUUCAGAAGUCUGUCUAGGAAUAGAACAACAACUGAAGCUCAGACCAGUUGAUGGAAGAUACUGCAGAGUUUGGCAGGGAAAUAACCCAAGACAGCAAAGCGGCUCUUUUGGCGCAUUUACCAAGAGGACUAACAUGGCCACAAAUUCAUGAGAUCAUGCAGGAGCCGUACAGUAUAACAGCAGUACAAGUUCUAUAAAAGAUCCACGACCUACUGAAGCCCAGCUAAUUAACUAAAAAGUUUUUAAAAACUGUAAUUUUAUCCCACCUGGGUACUUAUAAUUUACUAAGCUGCCUACACAAGUUUUAGACUUGCAAUUACAUUUUAAAUUGUCACUUGGAAAGUAAUACAUGUACAUGCAUUAUGUUCUGAAUUUCUUUGAACAAUACAAGUAUAUAAAAGUAUUUUAAUGAAAUUAAGCACCUAAAUUACAUUAAAGUGAAAGUAGCUGAGAACAAGAUGUGUUUGUGAAACACAAUGUCCCCCUAUAUGACGUUUGACCUUGAAGGAUGACCUUGAC